rnacentral:tRNA from 2 species
GCGAAGGUGGCGGAAUUGGUAGACGCGCUAGCUUCAGGUGUUAGUGUUCUUACGGACUUGGGGGUUCAAGUCCCCCCCCUCGCACCA